CCUACGGGAGGCAGCAGUGGGGAAUAUUGCACAAUGGGGGAAACCCUGAUGCAGCGACGCCGCGUGAGUGAAGAAGUAAUUCGUUAUGUAAAGCUCUAUCAGCAGGGAAGAAAAUGACGGUACCUGAGUAAGAAGCCCCGGCUAACUACGUGCCAGCAGCCGCGGUAAUACGUAGGGGGCAAGCGUUAUCCGGAUUUACUGGGUGGAAAGGGAGCGUAGACGGCAGUGCAAGUCUGGAGUGAAAGGCGGGGGCUCAACCCCCGGACUGCUCUGGAAACUGUACGGCUGGAGUGCAGGAGAGGUAGGUGGAAUUCCUAGUGUAGGGGUAAAAUGCGUAGAGAUUAGGAGGAAUACCAGUGGCGAAGGCGGCUUACUGGACUGUAACUGACGUUGAGGCUCGAAAGCGUGGGGAGCAAACAGGAUUAGAUACCCGAGUAGUC
rnacentral:rRNA from 1 species